CCUCGAUACCUGAAUAGUCUACGGCAUUCGGUUGUGAGAAGUGUGUGAUAUUCGUGGUCAUGUUAAUAUUUCUCUUUAAUAUACUGAUGUAAAAUGUGAAUACAAGUGUAUAACGUAUCUUAUUAUCCCUGUCAUCAAUGAAUGUCGGUAGGUGAACAGGUACAAAUCUGAUCUUACAUACUGUUGUAUGUAUUUGUUACAUCAAUUAACAUGUUAUCGAUGACUUAACCUCACAGACUGUCAUGGCGUGACAGAACAAGAAUGUUAGAAAGCAAUGGAUGUCCACAGUGCUACAGUACAACGCAGAGUGUGUGCGCGACGUGUUCAGUGUUCAGUUCACGUGGUGCGUGCGCCAGCGUCGCGUCGGUUCGUUUCUUUGAGUCCCAUUCCGGCCGAUGCCCGCCGCGACGCGGAACGUCGCCUCGCGCUCCAGACAGUGCAACCCCGCGCGGGUUCGUCGCUGUCUUCGUAUAUUUUUCGGACACCUAUUUUCAAAUCUUGGACUAUUUUCACUAGUAGUCGGCUAUGUUCUUCUUGGAGCUCUCCUCUUCGAGUUCCUGGAAGCUGGUUAUGAGCUGGAACAGCGAGGUCACAUUCAACAGUAUCGCGAGGAAUGUCUUAAGGAACUCUGGCUUAUUACAGAGCGCCUCAACGUCCUGUACGAGAAGAAUUGGACUCACCUCGUACACGAGCAACUGCGGAAAUUCGAGACGAACGUCGUGGCGGCCACCAAGGUCGAGGGUUACGACGGCAAAGACCUGGCGGACUCUGAUCGCCAGUGGUCGUUCAGCGGGGCGCUGCUGUACUCGGUCACCGUCAUCACCACGAUCGGUUACGGGAACCUCGCCCCCAAGACGCCAGAAGGCAAACUAGUCACCAUGCUGUACGCCCUCAUCGGAGUCCCCCUGAUGCUCCUGUGUCUCUCCAACCUGGGCACGGUGCUGGCAGGGACCUUCCAAUUCGCAUACUCGCACGCGUGCUGCUACGCAUGCUCGAAGAAUAAUAACCAGCCAGAACACAAGAACCAGUGUUACCACAGCAUGAGCAGGCCCCCUUCGUGUGCUCAGCCCCUGCCCGUGGAUUCCUCCCCGGUGACCGCCAGGAAGGCCCCUCCGGUGGUCCCCGUUGUCCACGUGUCCAGGGUUCAGAGCCGGCCCCGUCCCCCGCGGCCUCUGACUCCCGAGGCUCGUCAGAUCCUGACGGAGUGCGCCGAGUACUCGUUGGCUCAGGAAGGAGGCGCCGCGGCGGACCCCGCAGCUGCCAAGCUUCUGCAAGAACUUCGGCGGCAGGACCCGGAGGCCUUGGAAGUGGACGAGGUGGACGAUCUCGAAGACGCGGACCAGGAGCAAAGCGUCGCUGUCCACGACACUCCGUCUCGCGUGCCUCUCAUCUGGCGGCCCCCGCGUGACGACCAUCAGGUGCAGAAGCGUCCCCGCACCCCGUCUGAGCCCGACAGCGCCUCCACGGCGCCGGACGCCGCCAGAGUUCCGGUGUCGCUGGUGUUGUUAGUGUUGACGGCUUACAUCUGCGUCGGCGCCACGGUCUUCGCCGCCUGGGAGGAGUGGACGUUCCUGGACGGAGCCUACUUCUGUUUCAUCACGCUGUCGACCAUCGGCUUCGGCGACCUGGUGCCUGGCAAGUCGUUCCAGAGGGCCGACACGCAGAACGGCCAGCUACAGCUGGUCGCCUGCUGCGCCUACCUGCUCCUCGGCCUGGUCCUCAUCGCGAUGUCGUUCACGCUGGUCCAGGAGGAGGUCUUGGCCAAGUGCAGGCAGAUCGCGCUGUCCGUAGGGAUUCUUAAACGCGCUGACGCAAAGGGGAGCUCGUAAACCAUAAACAUUGUGUCUGCUUCUUCUUGUAUUCGUGUCGACGGACGUUUCGUCGUCACUGCAGUGCGUUUUGUUGUCGAGAGCAGCUUCAGCCUCUCAGUCCUCAACCAGUUCAGUGGUUAAACACUUCAUUUCAGGAACUCUGUUACUUCAUGAAAGUCCUUCGUCAGGACGUGCGUGUGUAUGCAACUCUGGGCCACUGUGCCCUCACGUUUGCGACGCUAACCUCUCCUCUCCUGACUUUUAUUUAUUUAUUUAUUCCGCCAGCUUGCGUGUUCUGUGUUGGCCGACGAAGCUGUCAGUGAGCUGCCGGUGAAGGCGGGAGGACAAUUCCGAUCCUCCGUGACGGAGGCCGAUGUUGCUCUGUCGGGACGAAUCGGCGUGUGGCGUGUUCUCUCCACACCUCCAUGUAUUACUCUGUCAUGUGUGUUGUACUGUGUAAUUCAACGAAAAAUACACUUUGGGGACGAUCGAAAAUCCGUGGAACACAUUUCUUCCUCGGAAGCUGAUAAAUCGCACCAUCACACUUGUCCAAAAAUCUUCUGGCACGAGAAACGCGAAAUCUGGGCCAAUAAUUUCGGGCAUCUCCAGCGACAUAGUCAACCCGGAAUCUCUUCGACACGAAAAUGUAAGUAAUCGUACGAUAAAGCACCGAUCGAUAAGAAACUACAAAUAAUAAUAAAGUUUCGCCGAAAAAAAUUACAGGAAUAUUGCGAUGUAAACUCCGAUCAUUAAUGGAAACAAAAUUUAAAUUAUUUUAAAGCCAGCGAAAGUUAACGACUGCAUAAGCAUAUGAACUCUCCCUCAGGACAAGUCAGUAAAAUUAUUCUCUCAGCCCAGGGAACCCGAAAACGCCCUGGCAUUUCUGAGCUGUGGGGGGUCCGCACGUGUGGGGCACGAUCAUCCAGCCGAAUCUGCCGCCCCCACUCCACUCCGUGGGGCCACUAGGACUUUCCGCGUGUCCUAAAAUAUUCAUUCUGACUGCAGCUCUCGCCGAGUGGCCGGAGAAAACCACAAUAAUACUUGUAAAAGAACCCACCGAGAUUCAAAGCGAACGUCCUGUCCCUUCGCCGACUUCCUCGCUUCUAGAAUGAUCUUUUAGCUCAGAGACGCAAAGUCAGCGGAACGCGUCUGUCAACUGUCAAAGCUGUCAGUGGCGGUAAUAAAACGCGGCUUGUGUAGAAACAACUGCCGGUGGCUGGUGUGAGUCACGACUUCCGGCACAAAAACAAAUUGCAGAACUCAAUUUGACGUUCACAAAGCCCUGGGUUCAAUUCUUGGGCCUGACAUAUCAAUCGUCCUGUGUCGAUGGGCGUUAGAACGAGGUUUCACCACAGACCAUGUUCUUAUUAUUCUUCCAUUAAACAAAAGAGCAACGUUGCUGUUUUUAAUUCCUCACUGACCUCAGUUUCAAUGUAUUGUUGGUGCACCUGCAGACCUGUUAGCGCAUUGUUACUGUUUUGUUUUUAUUACCAUUCGACUUGAGUUAUUUAUUCCAUUGUAGGACCGGAAUUCAGCUGCAGUUUCUUUUAAAACCUGAAGAAACUGCGAACGAAAUCCGACUCGGGUUUUCAUAGUUCCCCACAUUGCUAGAAAAGCUCUUCAUACCUCACAGAAACAAAACAUGAAACUUUUUCUUGUGUUCCCUUGUAUAAACGUCUUUGUCAAACGAUUUGCGCAGAAGAAGAAAUAUCCGGACUCCGAAACGUCCUUCGUAGCUUUAGAUAUAUAUAAUUAUGCGGGAAACUUAUCGCAUGGCGAUGCUAGACUCCUAGUUUAUAAACCGUUUGAAACUCUCGAAAACGCGAAGGACAAACUGCCAUUGUCAGGUGAGUCGAUUGGACGUUUUCAGGACGUAAGCGAUGCUUCUCAGAAACACCCAAGUUGUAUAUUAAAUCGCCAUUAAGGUGUAUUGAAACAUUCUGUGUUUUAAAUACGUUUUCUGACCGUGUCCAAGAGGAGACAGCCAUUGUUAGCUCCGCCGCUGUGAAACUGACAACGAAUUUCUCUUGAAUCCAAUUUCCGACCACCUCUGGUCACAAAUUAAGUUUCAGGGAACAGCGAGUCGUAAUUAAUAUUAAAAUAUUCUUCUUUCACCAUAUGAAUAAUUAUAUAAAAAUCUUAUAACCAACUUUCAAAGUUGCUUUGCUGGCCCGAAAUAAAUUGUGGUUUUAAAGGGGAUGAGUCAUCUGGUUCCGGCACUGGAACAGGGCGAAGGCCGUGUCUUAACGUGAACUUCUAUAGCAAUUACGUAAUGAGGAAGUCAUGAAUAAACAAGAGUUCGCUCCAUUCCUUGUUCGUAAUCCUGAAAUACGUGUCUUAGCACCGACUUUCUGUCAGGAAACUGCUCGGAGUCGGGAAUCAUUACUAAACCAUGGAACACAGAUGGUCUUCGAAACCUGAUGGUUGCUCAGCCGGCCAAGACGCGUUACCCGCUUCAUGGAACCUGAUGGCCCAUUGCAAGAGCCCGCUACCGGAACUACGUCGUAUGCUGAGCCAGCUGAAUCCAUCACAUUCUUUUCAGAGGUGUCCGCCAGACGAUUUCGCCCCUUCAUUUCAUCGAAGCAAAGUCCUCACAGACAUAUUUGAUAUCUGACACCAAAGUUUCCGAGGAAGUAAAUGCUUCCAUUUUCGGCCCUGAAGAUGGAGAUAGAAUGUUCCUCUCAGACUAUAUAUGAUCACAUGCCGUUCGAAAACUCAUUUUCAACGGGACGAACCCAGGUUUUAUCUUAAUGCAUGCGUGAGGUGCUUACGUACGUCAAUGCCCCCAUUUUCGAUUCCAAAAGUUCGAAAUUCUGGACCCGAUGUCUUUCAAUAAAGAGAGGUAUCAUUUUUGUCAUGACCCACGUGUCGAACAGAUCAGCCAUGGAAAUGCAAUAAGGUAAACUUCACUUCUUCUCUGAAGAUGGACGCGAUAAACACGGUCGACUUCCUUGUUUUGUACCAAUUCGUGUCCGCUGCCCUACGACGAUGAGGAGGUAAUCUUUGUGACGAUGAUAAUGGUCCAGAUGCUUCAUUUGACCAUCCUAAUGAUAAUUGGUGGAGAGUACAAAUUUGCAUUCCUCUCCUGCAUCCUCUGUUUUUGGUCAAAAUUUCCUAUUAUGGAACCCCAAAGUUCAUGCUGUUAACCGUACGUCCGAUUCCAGAGUCAAAUGAACCCAGUGCACAAAGUCACGUGAAUAUUAACUCCCCUUCUACGCCUAGUUCUUUCCAAGUGGUGUCUUACCUUUUCUACACUCCAACUGCUACCAACAGUUGCUUCCGAAUAAAACUUUCCCUGAAAAUCCCCUUCCUUUUGUCAUCCAGAUUCCCCAUUUGACAUUUGUAGGAUUCUGUUUCGUUGCUACUGACAGGUUCAAGCUGCGUGAUGUCAGAUCCUCGUACUUCCACUAUAACAGGACAGCGGGGUUCCAUUUUAAUUUAAUUCUGUCCGUAGUAGAACUGACAAGGUAACU